UCUCUGAAAUCAAUAAGAAUAUACUUAAAAAUAUAUUAAAAAGUAAAUAAAGAGAACACGGCCUUAGCUCGCUCCCUUCUCAUUCAGCGUUUCCUGCUCCUGGGGGAUUUUCCCGGGUUGAUUGGCGGGAGCAGCUUUACCCUGAGCCCCACAUCAGGGGUGCCGCCUCCCACCGAAAGCAAGAAAGCGUCAGGCUUUAAAAAUAGCUCAUCGCCAGCUUUCCUUCACUGAGGGCGCAGGCUGGCAUUCCCCUCAGGUAUUCCACAUGAGCAAGAUCGGGCGGGCGGGAGGGCCAGAGGGAGUGAGUCACCCACUUGGCAGGUGAGGUCAUGGUGGGGUGACCGUCUGCACAGAGCAGCUCCCGCCUCCCACGCCUCCCCCUCCCGGGGCAGCCGGGUCACCGCCGGCUGAGCUGCAAGUCUAGCAGCUUUGGUGCGAUGUUCAGUGGGAGACAUUCCUCUUUAUGACUCAGUGACUCGACAUCCCAACAGAUGGGCUCCUGAGGCCUCAGGGGACCGAAGCCGGCGCUGGGGUCGGACCCCGGGCUGCCAGGGCAGGGUCCGCAGCCCUGGGAAGGGCGGGCGGGGGCGCGCGUCCCGUCCGCUGGAAUGCUAGCUAUCUGGGACGUGGUGGGAUGGACCUGCGAGGCUUGCCGGCCCUGGUUCAGACACCCCAAGAGAGUGGCACCCGGAAGCCGGCGGUAAAUAUUUGCCGAAUGGCUCCCGCUCUGCAGGAGGCAGCGGCCAGCACACGUCCCCAGCGCCGCCGAGACAGACACGCAGCCUUGCUGGGCGUUCACAGCGCUGGCAAGUUCUCGCGGGGCCGCCGGAAACGGCCCGGGGCGUAUUUUCGUGGCACUGACACAGGUUUCACGUGGACAGCUCUGGUUGGCACAAAGCACCCUAGUGUUUACGCAGAAAUACCGCACAGGCUGGGAAAGAAAUGCUGUUUCCAGGAUGAAAGGGAAGGGUUGCUGGGAGGCAAAAAGCAAUAGGUGUCCACUCCCUGCGCAGAAAUGCGAGCCUGCCGGAGGAGGGCUGCGGGUCAGGCGGUGGGAGCUGGUUUGCCUGUGAGUCAGCCUGCGGGGGGAGGGGGGAGGGUGGGCGCUGGGCCUCCGGCCUCAGCCAGUCCGAGUGGACUCGGCUCUGCUCGCGCUGCAUGGCCUCCAGCGACUCAUUGCCAAGGAGUCUUGCUAACAGGGCCCGGUGCCGGGUGCGAGCGAUGGGGCACUGCGGUCACCGUGCUGCUAGACAGCUCUGCGAGGGCUUUUAGCUGUAAGCGACCGGCUCAGAGGAGGCCGCUGAGGACAGAGGGACUCAGUGACCUGCCCAGGGUCACUGCGCAGGAAGCGGUCUUCAGCCCACGGCCUCUGACCUCCCCAUGGCUGUGUUCACCCUCAUAAAUACCAGUGUCUCCCCCAGAGGUGCCACAGCAGGGACCCCGAUGCAGCAUCUGGCUGUUCCCCAGGAAGGGGCUGCAGGAGAACGGGUUCACCCUCCCUGAGGCUUCUGGGCCAGGCACCCAUCCCUGCCUGACCCAUCCCCCUGCCCCCAUCCCCCCUGCCCUAUCCCUGCCCCAUCCCUGCAUGCACGUGUACCGUUGGUUUCACCUGAACCCCACUGU